UAUAGAAGUGCAAUUAAAUGGUUAUUGGUGUUUUUAGGUUUGUUAUUUGUCUUAAAUUUCUGUUAAAUCAGACUGAUACAAAUAAUGUUUAGUAAAAGUCAAUCACACAUAUAAAAUGUGUGUUUUUAUAAAGUCAGCCGGACUGAAUCUCAAAACAGGCUGAAAACAAACCACAUUCUCAACCUAAAGGGAGCGGAAAUUUGUUGUGACGCAAUUGGCGGCAAUAUUCAUAAAAUAUGUUAAUGCUGCGCAGGUCUCAAAUAAAUCGCCAUGCCAUUAACUGGAAUAUAAGCUUAAAACAAACAGGUACAUGUUCAUCCAUUUCCAUCACUGUUAUUAGAAACAAUAUUACAAACUGUUUUAUGAUGUCGCUUGAUACUAAUGUGUUAUUAUGACAGAAUCCACGAUUGUAAGCCUAAAUGAGAUGGCCGCGCGAUGAACUGUGUUAAACAGCACACGAACAGCCUAGAUGACCGCGCCAUCAACUGAAUUAAACGGCAAACAAACAGAAUCCAUGAUUUUAUGCCUGAAAGAGAUCACCACGUGUCCUGCGCCAUUAACAGAAAUAAACACCAAACGAAAAGAUUGCCAGCUUUAAUGCCUGAAAGAGAUCGCCGUGUUAUCAGCUGAAUUAAACGCCAAACAAACAGGAUUGUAAAUAUGACCUCCACCAUCAUCCUGCGUGUAAUUCUGGGAGAGAACGAUGCACAGAAAGUGACACUUCAGAAUGGUGUCCCUUGUUCUUUGGCAGAAUUAAAGAAUGAGAUACAGACACAGUGUAAUUUGUUGGGAGAAAUCAGACUUCAAAUCAUGGACCCUGACUUUAAUGAAUUUGUGAACCUGACUUCCACAACUGAUGUUCAGAACAAAAGCACCCUUAAGGUCAUGAAACUCAGUGACUCUUUUGCAGUAUCUCCAUCUCCCUCAUCAUGUGACAGACAUUCUGUCUUCAAGUUCAUCCUCUGAAGCAUCAUCUUCUUCAUCCCUUGACCCCCAAGAGUUGACUUCGAAUACAAGGUCUUCUUGGCCAACAUGUUUUGUUGUGCCCCGUUUCUCCUAUGAUGCAGAAAUUAAGCUGGAACAAGGCAAUUCAGAAUACCAAAAAAAAAGGCUCUCCACUGAAUCCAGACCCAAAGCUGAAAUCAGACAUUUUGGAUGGACUUGCUGAAGAAAUAGUCAAAUUCAAAUUGUACCUCUCUGAUGCUGAAUUCAAUGAAGUGGCAGAAGCCCUUAUAAAACGGCAUCCUUGCCUUAAGGAACAGGGAUCGUUAACAGGAUGCAGUGGCUGGAAAAGAAGCCUUAAAUGUAAAAUGUCAAAUUACAGAACCAAGCUGCGAAAUCUUGGUUGUAGUGAAGUGACCGUUAAUUCCAUGAAGCACAAACCUAUGGGUGUAAGCAAUCCAGCUUUUGGUGUCAAGAAGCCACACAAGGCUGAAGUAAACUUUUGUCCCUCAUUUCUUCCUGGUGAAACUCCUGACAGCAUGGAGCAAAUCAGAGUCUCCCUUCUUUCUGAGGCUAAGAAGAACAACAACGAGCAAACUGUGAGAAGAUUAAUGGACCUUUCAUUUGCAUUGAGAAGACAAGAGGUUGUCAAAGAAUCUCCACUUAUUGCUGACUUUAUGAGCAGAUGGCCGGCUUUGUUCCAAGAAAAGGAGGUUUGCACGGGUAACAACUGUUGCCUUAAUUUCAUCCAGCUUUGAGAAGAAUUUUGAACACACUCCAAGUCUUCUGAGGAUCUUUGCCAAGAGAGGUGGAACUCAGGGACAAAGGAUAAGGAAACUUCUUGUGCGACUUACACAGUGUGCCUGCAUUAUUGUUAAGAGGGAGUGUGUCCUCAAAGCCCUGUUUGUGUACCUAAAUGAGGAUCCUGACAAUCUCAUCAAGGAGUACAUGGAUGUAGAUUUUUCCAACACUGAAGCUGCACUCAAAGAAAUGGUGAUGGGCGUUUUUGUCAUCAGAUGUGAAGGAUGUGAAGUUGGUGAUGAACCUGCGGAUGUUGGAGUAGUUCUUGAAGGAGUUACAGCACUAGAAGGGCUUGGUAAUGUAGCUAAUGGUGUUGCAUUGCUGAUUGGGCUUAUUUAUACUCUAAAUCUUAGUUAUCCGAAGGAGUCUCGAUACACCUUUGAACUCCUGCAAAAAGUGUUCCUGGAGCUUGAUGGACACAAACUCUCCACCAAAGUUCAAGCCCUCAAGACCAAGCUUUUUACACUUCAUUAAAGGACUGAUGAAAACCCUGAUCUUUACCUUGAAACUGUUUUGUGUCAAAUAGUCAAAACAUGUUCAUGUUUCAUGUUCACACAUUUUAAUGCCUUUAUUGAUUUGAUUUAUUUUAUUUUCUGUACAUCAAGGCAUAUGUGAAGAGGAAUAGUUUCCUUAAAAAUUACAUUUGUCCUUAACUCACCCAAAGAAGGUCAAGGAAAACCAUCAAGGGUUUCAAUGACUCAUGGGUUAGUUAAUGGUGACUUUUUUUUUUUUGUCAAACUUGUCCUUUUAAACACUUUUUUCCAAUGACUGUUUUAAUGGCUUCUGACUGUUCUUCAAGGAAAGACGUUUGAAUGACAAUGUAUUUUAAAUAGUUUUCAAAGAUGUUCCACACAGCACACAUUGUGUUUGCUUUUCCUUUACAAAAAUUAUCCAGGCACAUUUUGGAAUUAGAAUACAUUUACAGACAGCUUGAUGGACACAAGCAGUUUGAUCAAGUUUUGCACUUCAGUGGAGGCCUGAUGAACAAACAUAACCCAAACAUAAUAUUUUUUUCUUUGGAAUUGCAGGUUACUUUCUUUUUGUGAAACGCAUUAAAAGCAAACAUACUUUGCUAUUUUUUUUUAUUAAUGGAUUGUUGUACAUGUAAGAAUGUAAACCUGUUUGUUUAAUUUUGCAUUGUAAAGGAAAACAUUUCUGCACACUUGUUUUUUAUAUAAAUUGUCAAAUUCUGGCUUAAUGUGUUAAGUGUUUGAAAUGUUUUUGAAAGUGUGACACCUUAUGGA